CAAUCCCAGCAGCGGGAAAAUAUGGUAUCACAGGACAAUUGAAUUGAGAAUAUGUUACCCAUAGAGGAAAAACAAGAACAAGUGUAGUUAUCAGUAGAGAAGAAGACUGAGUGUUCAAAGAGAGGGAGAAAGAACAAUAUGAGAAGCAGCGGUUUUAUUCUUACUUGUCUAGACAACAAGAGUAAAGAUCACCAUAACUGGCAAGAUAGAUCAAGAACAGGAUGUGUUGGUCGUCUAGGGAGGAGACUUUGCUUUUUCUUUGAUGUGGGUAAAUACUCAUUUAUCAAUGAAUUUAAAAUUCAAAAUAUUUUAUUAUUUUUAUUGUUGAGAACAAUGAAUUUAAAAUAUUAAAUAAUUUUAUAAGGGU
rnacentral:lncRNA from 1 species